rnacentral:lncRNA from 1 species
GGAGCCCUUGGUGCCAGCAAGAUCAUUGCCUAAGCAACCUGGAGUGAGCCCUGGAAUCAUUCCAGACAACCCAGGGCACUCAACUGGAAGACCGCUGGCCUAACGGUUGCUGCAUCUUCUGUGGUGGCCGCUUGUGGGUCCUACAUAGAUGGUCCGACACCCUCGUUCCCAUUCACACCCUCUGUGUCAGACCUGAGGCCUCACCUGAGGACCCCCCACUUGCGGCCACAGCCUGGGAAAAUGUAUGCAGUCAGGGCCGCGGUGGCUUCGAGGAGCAGAAGUGGGCAGACAGCUGUUCUGCAUUGAGCCUCCGCAGAAUCAGCCUGUCUGGACCAUCACCAACCUUACGCCGGAGUUGGCCCCGGCUUGAGUGUGAGACUGCAUGACACAAAGAUGUGCUUGAUCCAAAGAUCUCCCACACCAGCCUGUCAUGGUGCCUGGUGGCCAGGCCCACUAUUGGAGAGAGGUGGAGACCGAGAUGGAGAGAUGGAGAGAGACACGUGCACAGAGACGGGAGAGGCUGGGGCAGCCUCGGGGCUGGCAGAUAUCACUCCCUCCUUCAUUUCUUCAAGUACUCGCUACGUGACCCUGGCUUUCCCUGUCCCCAGAGGGGCUCAGCCAUAG